rnacentral:rRNA from 1 species
UACACGCUGUGACUAGCAUAUCAAUAAGCGGAGGAAAAGAAACUAACAAGGAUUCCCCUAGUAACGGCGAGUGAAGCGGGAAGAGCUCAAAUUUGAAAUCUUAAAGGGUUUCCCUUUACGAAUUGUAGUUUAAAGAAGUGUUUUCUGUUGAGGUUUUGGUAAAAGUUCUUUGGAAUAGGACAUCAUAGAGGGUGAGAAUCCCGUAUUUGACCUUUACUUUCAACUUUGUGAUACACUUUCAAAGAGUCGGAUUGUUUGGGAAUGCAGUCCAAAAUGGGUGGUAAAUUUCAUCUAAAGCUAAAUAUUGGCGAGAGACCGAUAGCGAACAAGUACCGUGAGGGAAAGAUGAAAAGAACUUUGAAAAGAGAGUUAAACAGUACGUGAAAUUGUCAAAAGGGAAGCGUUUGACACCAGUGUUGUUUUCUGAAAAUCAAUUAAAGAACUGUUUAUGCUAAGUUGUUUAGACUUUAUCAGCUAACUGUUUAGUUUUGAGCUUUUCUUUAAUGCACUUUUCAGUUAACAAGUCAACAUCAAUUUCUUUUGCUGUAAAAAAGCUUGAGGAAGGUGGCUUGAGAUUCGUCUUAAGUGUUUAUAGCCUCUUGCCUAUGCAGUCGGAGAGAUUGAGGUCUGCAGCGUAGAUCCUUCGGGGCUAAAUGCAUUUGUGCUAAGUUAUAGCAUUUUAUAGACAACUUGUUGACUAUGAUUUGUCUUGUAGCUUACUCGCUUAUGUUAUUUUACCUACGCUUAGGAUGUUGAAGAUGUAGCACAUCAU